rnacentral:rRNA from 1 species
UGUGGCCUACGGGAGGCAGCAGUGAGGAAUAUUGGUCAAUGGGCUUACGCCUGAACCAGCCAAGUCGCGUGAGGGCCGCCUGCCCUCUGGGUUGUCCCCCUCUUUUGUCCGGGCGCAACGCCGGCUACGUGUAGCCGGACUGAGAGUACCGGAAGAAAAAGCAUCGGCAAACUCCGUGCCAGCAGCCGCGGAAAUACGGAGGAUGCGAGCGUUAUCCGGAUUUAUUGGUUUUAAA